rnacentral:rRNA from 1 species
CCUACGGGAGGCAGCAGUGAGGAAUAUUGGUCAAUGGACGCAAGUCUGAACCAGCCAUGCCGCGUGCAGGAUGACGGCUCUCUGAGUUGUAAACUGCUUUUGUACGAGGGUAAACCCCGAUACGUGUAUCGGGUUGAAAGUAUCGUACGAAUACGGAUCGGCUAACUCCGUGCCAGCAGCCGCGGUAAUACGGAGGAUCGGAGCGUUACCCUGAUUUAUUGGGGUUAAAGGGUGCGUAGGCGGUUUGAUAAGUUAGAGGUGAAAUGUCGGGGCUCAACCCGGAAACUGCCUUGAAUACUGUUGGACUAGAGAAUAGAUGAGGUAGGCGGAAUGUAUGGUGUAGCGGUGAAAUGCUUAGAGAUCAUACAGAACACCGAUGGCGAAGGCAGCUUACCAAUCUAUAUCUGACGUUGAGGCACGAAAGCGUGGGUAGCAAACAGGAUUAGAUACCCCGGUAGUC